ncrna:unclassified sequences RAGATH-18 RNA
UCUGUGGAUCGUCAUAUCAAAUGAGAGUAGUUAUUAACAACAAAAUCAGACGGGAUGAAGCAGAAA